rnacentral:siRNA from 1 species
UCGCCAUAAAUUCUCCCAUGGUCU